GGAUGUGAUCAUACCAGCACUAAAGCACCGGAUCCCAUCAGAACUCCGAAGUUAAGCGUGCUUGGGCGAGAGUAGUGCUAGGAUGGGUGACCUCCUGGAAGUCCUCGUGUUGCAUUCC
rnacentral:rRNA from 2 species